rnacentral:lncRNA from 1 species
AGUAUUUAUGCAUCUGGAUGAUGGUUGUAGAAGAGUAAAUGUGUUCCUAAAAAUAGCAUGUAAUUUCAGCUAGACAAAGCUUCAGGGUCACAACAUUCAAGGAGAGAACAGCUCCAGCCGCUUCCACGUGGGCAGCCACUGCUGUUCACUUUCAAGAUUCCACCACAUUUGUGACUCAACCUGUUUCUACUACUUUUGCUGCCACCGACUGAUGGACUCCCUCCACAGACCUUUCAUCCAGAUUCCCCAAGAGAGAGGAUCUGAUUGGCUGGUCAGUCAACAUUCAUUGUCAAGAGUCUUAUCGGGCUGAGCUCCCUCUCUGGGCUACCUCAUGGGCCACAGCUAGCCUGUGAGACAGCUGCUGAGACUCAGGUGCCCACCCCUGACCUAGGGUGGCAAGGCCACGUGGGAUAAGGCCAGAUCAUCUGUGAGUGUGGCGGGCACUCAGCAGAUCACAUCCUGUAUAUCUCUUUGUCCAUCUUCCUACACCAGCACCAGAUGGCCUGUGAGGAUCAAAAGAAAGGCUCUGGAGACAUCCUCAUGCCGAGCAAUCUGUGUUUUGCUGCUUCGUUUGGAUUCUCGGAUCUGUAUUAUGUGUGAGAACCUGCCAGGAACACUCCAGGAAUUUAGCUCAGAGACAAGACUGAAGUGACUAGAAAAUAGAGGUCGUGAUGUCCACUGUCCCUCAAACUGGACUUCUUCCAUUAGUUCUUUUAAUUUUAAAGCAGUGUUAGUACAUUUGUACCUG